AUUGAACGCUGGCGGCAGGCCUAACACAUGCAAGUCGAACGAGUGGCGGACGGGUGAGUAAUGUCUGGGAAACUGCCUAAUGGAGGGGGAUAACUACUGGAAACGGUCGCUAAUACCGCAUGCCAUCAGAUCUGCCCAUAUGGGAUUAGCUAGUUGGUGGGGUAACGGCUCACCAAGGCCACGAUCCCUAGCUGGUCUGAGAGGAUGACCAGCCACACUGGAACUGAGACACGGCCCAGACUCCUACGGGAGGCAGCAGUGGGGAAUAUUGCACAAUGGGUGCAAGCCUGAUGCAGCCAUGCCGCGUGUAUGAAGAAGGCCUUCGGGUUGUAAAGUACUUUUAGCGGGGAGGCGGUACCUGCAGAAGAAGCACCGGCUAACUCCGUGCCAGCAGCCGCGGUAAUAC
rnacentral:rRNA from 1 species